GCUGGGAUAGCUCAGUCAGUAGAGCAUGAGACUUAAUCUCAGAGUUGUGGGUUAGAGGCCCACACUGGGCA